rnacentral:rRNA from 1 species
UACAGAGGGUGCGAGCGUUGUUCGGAAUUAUUGGGCGUAAAGGGCGCGUAGGCGGUGCGGUAAGUCACCUGUGAAAUCUAUGGGCUCAACCCAUAGUCUGCAUCGGAAACUGUCGGGCUUGAGUAUGGGAGAGGUGAGUGGAAUUUCCGGUGUAGCGGUGAAAUGCGUAGAUAUCGGAAGGAACACCUGUGGCGAAAGCGGCUCACUGGACCAUUACUGACGCUGAGGCGCGAAAGCUAGGGGAGCAAACAGG